AGUGUCGGGUAAGUUCACUAGAAC
rnacentral:siRNA from 1 species